rnacentral:siRNA from 1 species
GUCUUUCGUGGAUCUAAUA